rnacentral:rRNA from 1 species
GCGGCCGAUCCGCCGCCAUCCGCCCCAGGAUGGGGGCACGGCCCAUCAGGUAGUUGGCGGGUUAAAGGCCCGCCAAGCCGAAGACGGGUAGGGGCGGUGAGAGCCGCGAGCCCCGAGAUCGGCACUGAGACAAGGGCCGAGGCCCUACGGGGUGCAGCAGGCGCGAAUACUCCGCAAUGCGGGCAACCGCGACGGGGCUACCCCGAGUGCCGGGCGAAGAGCCCGGCUUUUGCCCGGUCUAAAAAGCCGGGAGGAUAAGCGGGGGGCAAGUCUGGUGUCAGCCGCCGCGGUAAUACCAGCUCCGCGAGUGGUCGGGGUGUUUACUGGGCUUAAAGCGCCCGUAGCCGGCCCGGCAAGUCGCUCCUGAAAUCCCCGGGCUCAACCCGGGGGCGGGGGGCGAUACUGCCGGGCUGGGGGGCGGGAGAGGCCGCCGGUACUCCGGGGGUAGGGGCGAAAUCCGUUAAUCCCCGGAGGACCACCAGUGGCGAAAGCGGGCGGCCAGAACGCGCCCGACGGUGAGGGGCGAAAGCCGGGGGAGCAAAGGGGAUUAGAUACCCCUGUAGUCCCGGCCGUAAACGAUGCGGGCUAGCUGUCGGCCGGGCUUAGGGCCCGGCCGGUGGCGAAGGGAAACCGUUAAGCCCGCCGCCUGGGGAGUACGGCCGCAAGGCUGAAACUUAAAGGAAUUGGCGGGGGGGCACCACAAGGGGUGAAGCUUGCGGCUUAAUUGGAGUCAACGCCGGA